CACGUAGGGGGCGAGCGUUGUCCGGAAUCAUUGGGCGUAAAGAGCUCGUAGGCGGCUCAGUAAGUCGGGUGUGAAACCCCCAGGCUCAACCUGGGGACGCCACCCGAUACUGCUGUGGCUAGAGUCCAGUAGGGGAGUGUGGAAUUCCCGGUGUAGCGGUGGAAUGCGCAGAUAUCAGGAGGAACACCAACGGCGAAGGCAGCUCGCUGGGACGGUACUGACGCUAAGGCGCGAAAGCGUGGGGAGCGAACAGG
rnacentral:rRNA from 1 species